GGCGACGUAGCCAAGUGGUAAGGCAAGGGUCUGCAAAACCCUCAUGCGUGGGUUCAAAUCCCACCGUCGCCU
rnacentral:tRNA from 1 species